AGGGGCAGUAAGGCAUGGGUACCUACCUUUGGGUUCGGGAUAGCCAUCAGAGAUGGUGGGUAAUACCGGAUGACGUCGUGAGACCAAAGAUUUAUCGCCCGAAGAGGGGCCCAUGUGAUAUUAGCUAGUUGGUGAGGUAACGGCUCACCAAGGCGAAGAUGUCUAGCGGGUGUGAGAGCACGACCCGCGCCACUCGCACUGAGACACUGGCGAGACACCUACGGGUGGCUGCAGUCGAGGAUCUUCGGCAAUGAGCGCAAGCUUGACCGAGCGACGCCGCGUGAGCGAUGAAGGCCUUCGGGUUGUAAAGCUCUUUAGUGGGGGAGAAAAGCCAGCAAUGGUGUGAUCUAUCCCAAAAAUAAGCACGGGCUAAGUUCGUGCCAGCAGCCGCGGUAAGACGAACCGUGCGAACGUUGUUCGGAAUCACUGGGCUUAAAGGGCGCGUAGGCGGGCUAUCAAGUCUGGGGUGAAAUGCCACGGCUCAACCGUGGAACUGCCUCAGAUACUGACGGCCUCGAGGAAGGUAGGGGCAUGCGGAACUGUAGGUGGAGCGGUGAAAUGCGUUGAUAUCUACGGGAACUCCGGUGGCGAAAGCGGCGUGCUGGACCUUUUCUGACGCUGAGGCGCGAAAGCUAGGGGAGCAAACGGGAUUAGAUACCCCGGUAGUCCUAGCCCUAAACGAUGGGUACUAGAUAGUGGA
rnacentral:rRNA from 1 species